rnacentral:rRNA from 1 species
GUGUCAGCCGCCGCGGUAAUACGGAGGGUGCAAGCGUUAAUCGGAAUUACUGGGCGUAAAGCGCACGCAGGCGGUCUGUUAAGUCAGAUGUGAAAUCCCCGGGCUUAACCUGGGAACUGCAUUUGAAACUGGCAGGCUUGAGUCUUGUAGAGGGGGGUAGAAUUCCAGGUGUAGCGGUGAAAUGCGUAGAGAUCUGGAGGAAUACCGGUGGCGAAGGCGGCCCCCUGGACAAAGACUGACGCUCAGGUGCGAAAGCGUGGGGAGCAAACAGGAUUAGAUACCCUGGUAGUCCACGCCGUAAACGAUGUCGACUUGGAGGUUGUUCCCUUGAGGAGUGGCUUCCGGAGCUAACGCGUUAAGUCGACCGCCUGGGGAGUACGGCCGCAAGGUUAAAACUUAAAUAAAUUGACGG